CAACCCUUAAGCCUAGCUUAGUGUUGGGAGACUGCCUAAUACGCAGCUCCUCAAAACCAGUGGCAGAGUUUUUACGUACUCUGAGCGCAGUAAUUCUAUUCUCGCUUCUGAAAACGUCUAGACAAUAGCCAAAAACCGCAUGCUUCGGCAGCACUUUUUAAU
rnacentral:misc_RNA from 1 species